UUUGUACUCCCUUUAUCCAAAAAUAUUUGUCGAAGAAAUAGAUGUAUCUAGACGUAUUUUAGUUCUGGGUACAUCUAUUUUCAUCCAUUUCUGCGACAAGUAGUUCCGAGCGGAGGGAGUAUUAG
rnacentral:pre_miRNA from 1 species